rnacentral:rRNA from 1 species
CUUAACGCAUGCAAGUCGAACGGAAAGGCCCUCCGGGGUACUCGAGUGGCGAACGGGUGAGUAACACGUGGGUGAUCUGCCCUGCACUUUGGGAUAAGCCUGGGAAACUGGGUCUAAUACCGAAUAUGACCACGCUCUUCAUGGGGUGUGGUGGAAAGCUUUUGCGGUGUGGGAUGGGCCCGCGGCCUAUCAGCUUGUUGGUGGGGUAAUGGCCUACCAAGGCGACGACGGGUAGCCGGCCUGAGAGGGUGACCGGCCACACUGGGACUGAGAUACGGCCCAGACUCCUACGGGAGGCAGCAGUGGGGAAUAUUGCACAAUGGGCGCAAGCCUGAUGCAGCGACGCCGCGUGAGGGAUGACGGCCUUCGGGUUGUAAACCUCUUUCACCAGGGACGAAGCGCAAGUGACGGUACCUGGAGAAGAAGCACCGGCCAACUACGUGCCAGCAGCCGCGGUAAUACGUAGGGUGCGAGCGUUGUCCGGAAUUACUGGGCGUAAAGAGCUCGUAGGUGGUUUGUCGCGUUGUUCGUGAAAACUCACAGCUUAACUGUGGGCGUGCGGGCGAUACGGGCAGACUAGAGUACUGCAGGGGAGACUGGAAUUCCUGGUGUAGCGGUGGAAUGCGCAGGUAUCAGGAGGAACACCGGUGGCGAAGGCGGGUCUCUGGGCAGUAACUGACGCUGAGGAGCGAAAGCGUGGGGAGCGAACAAGAUUAGAUACCCUGGUAGUCCACGCCGUAAACGGUGGGUACUAGGUGUGGGUUCCUUCCUUGGGAUCCGUGCCGUAGCUAACGCAUUAAGUACCCCGCCUGGGGAGUACGGCCGCAAGGCUAAAACUCAAAGGAAUUGACGGGGGCCCGCACAAGCGGCGGAGCAUGUGGAUUAAUUCGAUGCAACGCGAAGAACCUUACCUGGGUUUGACAUGCACAGGACGCUGGUAGAGAUAUCAGUUCCCUUGUGGCCUGUGUGCAGGUGGUGCAUGGCUGUCGUCAGCUCGUGUCGUGAGAUGUUGGGUUGUGUCCCGCCCCGGGCGCCGCCCCUCUCUUCUGUUGCCUGCGCGUUUUGGCGGGGGCUC